AACGAACGCUGGCGGCAUGCCUAACACAUGCAAGUCGAACGAGACCUUCGGGUCUAGUGGCGCACGGGUGCGUAACGCGUGGGAACCUGCCCUUAGGUUCGGAAUAACUCCCCGAAAGGGGUGCUAAUACCGGAUAAUGUCUUCGGACCAAAGAUUUAUCGCCUUUGGAUGGGCCCGCGUUGGAUUAGCUAGUUGGUAGGGUAAAAGCCUACCAAGGCGACGAUCCAUAGCUGGUCUGAGAGGAUGAGCAGCCACACUGGGACUGAGACACGGCCCAGACUACUACGGGAGGCAGCAGUGGGGAAUAUUGGACAAUGGGCGAAAGCCUGAUCCAGCAAUGCCGCGUGAGUGAUGAAGGCCUUAGGGUUGUAAAGCUCUUUUACCCGGGAUGAUAAUGACAGUACCGGGAGAAUAAGCACCGGCUAACUCCGUG
rnacentral:rRNA from 1 species